GCAAAGAGAGGAUUUGGGGGGGGGGGUUUAAAAAGUGGCCUCCCCCCUCUUGCCUUAUAUCACACAUAAGCUACCUAAAAAACGCCCAAAACCUUAGAAAUCAAGAGUCGGAACACAACAGAGCCUCCAGCUCGGGUUCCCUGGAGUAAGAUUUAAGGAUCCAAAGCGGCUCAACCGAAGGAAAAUUUAGGAUUUUUUAAAAAUUAGGGCCAAAGCCAAAUAAUGCGCUCUUCGGUCAACCGAUCUCUUAGUGAGUCGCUUAGGCAGUUUUCCUGAGGUCUCCAGGGCUGGAGGAUCGGGCCCCGGGCAGUGAACGGGGAGAGCCUCUGCAGUCCGGAUCCCACCCCGGACAGCUGGCUCGCUUUUUCUAUCGCUCGCUCGCUCGCUCGCGCCACGGACCUUCCUCUCCGUUUAAAGACCCACUGGAAGCGCCUCGGGGCAGCGACCGCUCCGUCUCUUUCACCCAUCCACGCCGGCCUGAUGCUUUCCGGCCUUCCAAUCCUCUCCCGUUUUUUAAACAGAUAUUUUCCCGUCCUUCCAAAAUUAAAAUAAAAUACCGUAACAUUUUUUUUAAAAAAAACCCAGACAAGGAAACCAAACCGCGGACAUCUAUUUAUUGUCUUUAAAAGGGAAAGGGGGGGGGGGUUGAGAAAGAACGCAAAAAAAGAGAAGCAGCCCAUCGUUGCCCUCCGAGGGAUUUUCUACGCUACUCCCUAACGGAACGGCCGGGGGUUGGGUGGGGGUGGAAAUAAGGCUUCUUGCGGAACUACAAAGCUCAUCAUCCCCAACCUUGGGGAUUCAGGGUUUUUGUACGCGCCCCGCAAAAAAAUAAAAAUACAAAAAGGGAAUGUUCCCGAAGUCAGUCUUUUUCAUUACUUUUUCCCCCUUUACGCGGCUGCGCAUCCAGCGCGGUUAGUUUUCUCUCUUUUUUUUUAAACGCGGGGGCCCAGGAGGUGUCCCCGUUCCCACGCGCGCCCCAGCCGACAACACGGGAAGGGAAGAGCGGAGCGGAGCGAGCGCUGCCGGCCUGCCUUGCCCGGCCAUUGCCANNNNNNNNNNCCUUCCCCGACACGCGAGAGGCGCGUCGUCCUUCCCCCGAGUCCCAGCUUUUCCACGGGGGUCUCCCUCGUGCACGUCUGACCCGGCCGCCCGAAGGAGUCUCUACGGGUCCCGGGCUUCCUCGCGAGUCGGCGCGGCCCGACUGCGCUCGGGAGAGGACCGGCCGCCGCCGCCGCCGGGGCCAAGCCGCCUAGCGAAGCCGCGAGCGAUGGAGCGAGCGCAAGCAGAAAUAAAAAAAAAAAAGGAGAAAAAAAAAUCA
rnacentral:lncRNA from 1 species